rnacentral:rRNA from 1 species
GACGAACGCUGGCGGCGUGCUUAACACAUGCAAGUCGAACGGAAAGGCCCUGCUUUUGUGGGGUGCUCGAGUGGCGAACGGGUGAGUAACACGUGAGUAACCUGCCCUUGACUUUGGGAUAACUUCAGGAAACUGGGGCUAAUACCGGAUAGGAGCUCCUGCUGCAUGGUGGGGGUUGGAAAGUUUCGGCGGUUGGGGAUGGACUCGCGGCUUAUCAGCUUGUUGGUGGGGUAGUGGCUUACCAAGGCUUUGACGGGUAGCCGGCCUGAGAGGGUGACCGGCCACAUUGGGACUGAGAUACGGCCCCGACUCCUCCGGGAGGCAGCGGUGGGGAAUAUUGCACAAUGGGCGGAGGCCUGAUGCAGCACCGCCGCGUGCGGGAUGACGGCCUUCGGGUUGUAAACCGCUUUCGCCUGUGACGAAGCGUGAGUGACGGUAAUGGGUAAAGAAGCACCGGCUAACUACGUG